rnacentral:miRNA from 1 species
GGCCUCCAGCUUGUUGUACG